rnacentral:rRNA from 1 species
GAUGAACGCUGGCGGCGUGCCUAAUACAUGCAAGUCGGGCGAACAGACGAGGAUCUUGCUCCUCUGACGUUAGCGGCGGACGAGAGAGUAACACGGGGAGAACCUACCUAUAAGACUGGGAUAACUUCUGGAAACCGGACCUAAUACCGAAUAGAAGAUUGAACCGCAGGAGUCGAUAGUGAAAGACUGUCUUGCUGUUACGGAUAUAGCGAACCGCGCCGAAGUAGCUAGUUGGGAAGGUAACGGCUUACAAAGGCAACGAUGCGUAGCCGACCUAAGAGAGUGACAGGACACACUGCAAGUGAGACACGGUCCAGACUCGUACGGGAGGAAGCAGUAGGGAAUCUUCCGCAACGGCAGAAAGCUUGACGGAGCAAUGCCGCGUGAGUGAUGAAGGCAUUCGGAUCGUAAAACUCAGUGAUUAGGGAAGAACAAAUGUGUAAGCCACUAUGCACGUAUUGACGGUACCUAAUCAGAAAGCAACGGCUAACUCCGUG